AUGUUUAUUUUGUAAUCAGAGAUAUGAAGCUGGAUUUACACUAUGUUGCUAGUUUCAUAUAUCAAUACAAGCGCUUUAACUUUCUGCCAGCCAAUCGUACUUGCUUAAUAAUUGUUUUAGUCUUAAUUUGAUUCAGAAACAAAUAAAUAAAUAUUCCGAUAUUUUGAUGACGUCAGCAUAGAAAUGAUUACACAAUCCUAUGAAUUCACUUUUACAAACUUCUUUUACGGAAAAAGACUUUUGUUUGAUUCGGGGGCGAAUCAAAAAGGCUUUAAUUAAUAUAAAGCCAUUUUUGCAACUUAAAAAGUAAUUAUGCGUGUGUAUCAGCCGUGUACUUUAUUCUUAGUCUAUGAUUUGACAAAUUUCACUGGAUCCAAUUUACCUGGCAUCUAAAUCACAGUGAGUGGUAGCCGUAAAAUGAAAAACUGUGAUAAUGGUAUGGAUUAGUUUCUUUUAUAUUUUUUGUUUUGUUUUUCUCCUAAUAAUUUUCCUUCAAAACGUCUUUAAACGCAUUCAACGAAAUGUUCAGUCAAAAUAUAAACAGUGGUUUAGAAUUUGCAUUUUUGUGUUCCUAAACCAUUUUUAAAUUGGGGAUAUAAAGUCAUAAAAUCCUAACAAAAAAACUCGUUUUUUUCCAAAAGCACGUGUUUUAUCAAUGAAAGAGCUUCCACCAAAAUUAAAAUGCAAUGUCGACCACCAUGCUUUCCACAUGACAAAAACCGACUUGCGAAUUACUUAAAGACAUAGUCUGGCACCACCACCAUGCUAAUGGCAGGGUAUUUAAAAGUAAAUCAAGACAUGGAGUCCUCUUAAUGAUCUUCAACGUUAACCACAUCACUCUUUUCUAAGUAGCAACCUUGAUAAAGCUAUCUGUCCAAAUGCAUAACGUUUUGCACAUAACCAGCGGUAUAUGGAUUUGUAUACUAAUGAAAUAUAUAGUAUAUACUUUGUUUCUCAUAUAUGUCUUUCACAAAUUUUAUCUUAUGAACGCAUGCUGAACAUAUAAUAUCUUACUUUUCUAUAUUAUAAUACCCCUAUCUGUCACGCAAAAUGGUACCAAAAGUAGUGAGACGCACGCAGUGCGAUAUAAAAAAAACGGGCGAAACCGUAGAUUUUUUCACGGACCACCGACUAUUCUCCAAAAUUUAAUACUGGUAUAUGGUAUAUGAUUGGUUCUCAUUAUGAUUCCCAUAUGCACUUAUAACUCGCGCGUAUUCUUUCGUAUAAGAGUACUGAUAUAUGUUUACUCAUCGUAAGUAAGAACAGAUUACACUCUUUUUUUCGUCUAUACUGAUUAAUGAUAAUAGUAAGCUUAUGUAAACUUGUAAGUAUAAAUAAAGUUGACAAAGUUUGUUUCCAUGACAUUCCAAACGUUUAUAGGUCUCCAGGUAGCGUUUUGCAGACCAUUCAAAUAUUUUAAAGUAUCUUGUUUUCUUAAUUCUCUUUAAAUUUUUUUAAGGAUGUUUAUCCCCUUGUUACCAUUAAACUUCCAAAUUUAUUUCAUUUGAUAUUUCGUUACUCUAUUUAGUGUACCAUUUAGGUACAAGUUAAAAAAAUUAGGCAACUUUAAAAUUGAAGAUUUGUAAAAUAUAUGCAUGUAGAAACGUGUCGUUACAGGGGCUACAAAACGGCUCAAGUAAGAUCUUGUCAUUAAUGAUACAAGUCAAGGUACAAGAAUUUAUAACAACUUUUUUGCCAAAAUAUAGACACACUGUUAAUAAAUAAUUACUUUUCAUGAUUUGCUACUUUUAAUGGUAUUUACCAAAAAUAAAUACAUUAUCUUUUAGUAAUAAGCUUUAAAUUUAGAUCUAAAAAGGAUAUUAAUACCUCUUAAAAGUCGUUGUUGUUGCUUCAACUGGCUCUAUAUGCAAUAAUUUGAUAGGAUUCUGUACAGAAUUUAGAAUAAAAAUAGCUAGCUAGCUAGGUCAAAAAGUUUAACAAAGAUUCUUUUACCGAAAAAAAACUGGAUUUAAAAGCAAGAUAUAGAUGAAAAGCAAGAUGCUUAUAUAUAGAAUAAAUUACAGAUAGAUAAUAUUUGCAAGAUACUUUUCUAUCGUUUUUAGUUAUAGUUGGGUGUCCAGGAUGAUUUAAGAUGUUGUUUUUGUCCUCACUGCUCAUGGACUUUCCUUUCGCCAUAAGCCCGACUUUCGUGCAAGUCACUAAAUUUAAAAAUCAAGAGCUCGUUUUGUAGACUCAAUUCAGGACGGGUGAAACCGGGGGAGAGAAGACGGGGCGGGAGGAGUUGGGAAGCGUUGGACGUAAGGCAUUGUCCCCUUACUCAGAUAGUCUAGAUAGUUUCGAAAAUACUAUAUUAUCCAAUUUAACUCCGUAAAACUUUAAAAUUUGAAUAGUAAGCUAAUCUGGAGAUAUUAAACUUCAAAUAUUUUUAAAGCAGCUUCAACCAUUGUGUGCUAACCUGUCACUGACAACAUGGUCCCUCCACUCUUAAAACUAUUUAAUUUCAUUUAAAUCAGUUUAAUUUUGAGGAACUUGAGUUUUUAGUGAUCAGGAAAUUAACCUAACGGACAUGUUUAUUAAAGGAUAUUAAAACAGUAAUUGACAACUUUCAGAACACAAGUUUUUUCUUUCCAUAAUUUACUCUUAAUACUUAGUUUUAAGAGGUUAUAUAGCCUUACCCUAACCAACUAAUUACACAUACACUGAAAAGUUAAUAUGGCUAAAUUAGAUCCAUUAUACAGGAAACCGCAAAUUUUAUUCAUUGAUAGAUAUUGUAUUAGCUCUAAAAUUGUCCAACUGACGUCAACCUGGAUUUUCAUUUCCUGGUACCAAAUGUUUGUCGUUAAUAAAUUCGAAAGAAAAAACUUUCACUAUACUUUGUAACAAUUUAUACAAUUUUUUUAUUUGUACAAUUUUAAUAUUUUUUAAUAUUGCUAUUUUUGUACACCUCGUACUCAGGGCUAAACAUGUUCUAAUAAGAGGUGAGACUUAAAUAUAAAUUACAAAAACUUGCAUGAAGAUGAAAAAGAAAUUUGUGUAGUAGUAGGCAGGGUUGGAUAACAGAAUAAAAUGACGUAAAUAAAGAAAGAGAGUCAAGAGUUCUCAAUCUCAACACAACACAUUAUAUCACUUAUAAUAAUGAUUGGUGUUUAUUGAAUUUCCGCGCCCGAAGGCGUAGGAAAUUCUUUAAAACCGUCGUUUUUUUCUUUCGGAGCAUUUUUUAAGAAAAAAUCGACCCUGGGAUUUCACGUUCCUCUGAGAGGAGGAUAGAUAAGUGACUAACUAACUAACCCUGUCCCAAAUGGUCAAUUGCAACGUCACAGAUUUAAACUUCGUACCCAAGCUCCCGAAGUACUGGGAAGUCAUCUAAAUGACGUUUCAGGCCAAAAUUGGUAUUUGUUUUUGACAAAAUUUGGCACAGUUAACAAAAAAAGUAUGCUGAACAUAAUGGUGACAUCAUAAUUUUGGUUUUUGUCACCCAAAUGUCAUUUUAGGCCAAAAUUGGUCCAAAAAUUAAAACUACUUUAUUUUCAACAAAAUUUGACACAGUUAACGUAUGCUGAACAUGAUGGUGACAUCAAAGUUUUGAUUUCUUGUUAACUAAAUGUCAAUUUAGGCCAAAAUUGGUCCAAAAAUUAAAACUACUUUAUUUUUGACAAAACUUGGCACAGUUAACAAAAAAAGUAUGCUGAACAUGAUAGUGACAUCAAAAUUUUGGUUUUUUGCCACCUUAAAUGUCAUUUUAGGCCAAAAUUGGUCCAAAAAUUAAAACUACUUUAUUUUCAACAAAAUUUGGCACAGUAAACAAAUAAAGUAUGCUGAACAUGGUGGUGAGAUCAAAAUUUUGAUUUUUUGCCACCUUAAAUGUCAUUUUAGGCCAAAAUUGGUCCAACAUUUAAAACUACUUCAUUUUUAACAAAAACUGGCAAAGUUAACAAAAAAAGUAUGCUGAACAUAAUGGUGACAUCAAAAUUUUGAUUUUUGUCACCUAAAAGCCAUUAUAGGUCAAAAUUGGUCCAAAAAUUAAAACCACUUCAUUUUCGACCAAAUUUGGCACAGUUAACAAAUAAAGUAUGCUGAAAAUGAUGAUUAUAGAAAAAUGUGAUUUUUUGUCACCUAAAUGUCAUUUCAAGCCAAAAUUUGUCCAAAAAUUAAAACUACUUUAUUUUCAACAAAAUUUGAUACAGUUAACGUAUGCUGAACAUGAUGGUGACAUCAAAGUUUUGAUUUCUUGUUACCUAAAUGUCAUUUUAGGCCAAAAUUGGUCCAAAAAUUAAAACUACUUUAUUUUUGACAAAACUUGGCACACUUAACAAAAAAAGUAUGCUGAACAUAAUGGUGACAUCAAAAUUUUGAUUUUUGUCACCUAAAUGCCAUUAUAGGUCAAAAUUGAUCCAAAAAUUAAAACCACUUUAUUUUCAACAAAAUUUGGCACAGUAAACAAAUAAAGUAUGCUGAACAUGGUGGUGAGAUCAAAAUUUUGAUUUUUUGUCAACUAAAUGCCGUUUAAGACCAUAAACGUUUCAAUCGCAAGACUUUCAAGCAUGAAUGAUAGGCUGUAUUUUUUGUUAUCAAUUUCUUUUAAAAUGUGAGCUUAUUAUGACACGUUUCGUUUUGUUUGCGUUUGUUGUAAGAUAUAAUGUCACUUGUGUGCUUUAUCUUCAGAGCUUCAUGCACCAAACCUCUUCGAAUGUUUGGCAUGAUUUGGCAUGACAACAAAUUAGCAUGUUGUCAUCAAAUAUUUUGGUAGCGAGCGGAAAUUCUUAGAGCCCCCAGGGCUUCUUGUUUAUAUUUGGUUAAAAACAGUAUCACUAUAACAACAAUUAUUCUCGUCCUCGAUACAGAAGCAACGUAAAAAUAUGAAUUUUUUUUAAAUAAGACAAAGAGUAGAGAGUCAUGUUGAAAUCGCCACGAAAGAUCUUGCUUCGAGACUCAUUUUUAACAUAUCCAUAUUUAAUAAUGUACGGGUGAAAUCACGUAAAUGAUGUCUUUGUAAUUAUAAGAAAAUCAAAUCGUAGUUUCGACUGGAAAGUUUGUCUGGAUUUUUAGGAUGUUUAAUUCGUUAAUGUUCUUUUGUUUGUUCGGACUGUUUUUGUUAUAUUUUUUGUUUACGUUGUUUUUGUUUAUCUUGUUUUGUUUGUGUUGAUUUUAUUUAUAUUGCUUUGUUUACGUUGUUUGUUUACGUUAUUUUGUUUCAUUUGCUUUUCUGCACUUUUUUUGUUUAUGUUGCUUUGUUUACCCUGUUUUUGUUUACUCUGUUUUUGUUUAUGUUGUUUUUUUUUCGAUUACGUUCACGUUGUUUUAUUUGAUUCCGCAGUGUUUUUUACAUUGUUUUUGUUAACGUUGUUUUUGUUUGGGUUAUUUUGUUUACGCUGUUUUCAGAUGCGUUACUUACUUCGCGUUUUCUACAUUUCUGAGGUAAUCAAGUAAAUUUUAGCAAAGAGAAACUCGAUGAAUAAAGAGUCUUCUCUUCCGUUUAAGUUACACACAUGUGUAACAGCUACGACUUUAUAAUUUUCGAAGAGGAACUUGUUAGUAAUAGGAUUUUGCAUGUUCGUGUAUUAUGACCUACAGUGCUUCCUUCAAUUAAGUUGCGAAAACGAUCAUUGGCAAAUAGAAAGGAGGGGAUGCUGUGUAAUUGUCAAUCGGUAAACAGGAUUGCUUUUCUAUUCCUGAAAUUCAUUCAGACUGGAUUUCCUCUUUUUUGGAAAAGGUUUGCACAAAAUUGGAUUACAUAAAUUAACACGAAUCUGUUCCUUCUUAGUAUACAUUUAAAUAGUGCGGAAUUUUUAUUGACGGUUUUAAAACCGGUUUCUAUUAAAACGUUCUAAGCAACAGCUUGCAGUGUUUUGCGUCUGCGCAUGCGCAUAAGAGUUUUUCCGAUCUCGGCACAAAUAUUUUUCCAAAGUGUUUGCAGACGGACUUAUUUUUUAACAACCAAUUAAAAUUCUAAAAGCCAUCUUUAGUAACAUGGAAAUUGAGCAUUCUAAGCGCCAACAUUCAAAUGAAGCUUCGCCUAAGAAUGCUGUGAUAGAAACCGUUCUUUAUAAGCGGGGCAAACAAUUACCAUGCAUCUUUGUUUUGUUUUUUUAUCCACUAUCAUGCACUCGUUCUACACGUUCAUCCUUUUUCUCACCUUUUUAUAAAUACAACAUCGCAGUUAGUGGUUUUAACAAGUGAUUAACAUUUCGCAUUUACACGUUUGGCUCAAGUGUAGUAAAAAAUUUGAGAAGAAAAACAUUCGAGAAGAAAAAUAACAUCAAUGAGAUUUGAAAGAUAAGAAAAUAACAUCUUAAUUUCAUAAAGUAUGAGAAAUUUACUUAACACAUUAAGUUGAAAUAAACAGUACAUUUAACUUCAAGUAAGUUCUUAACUUUUUUUAAUAUUUGCUGCUUCUUUUUUAGUUUGCAUUUCUGUGAUUACUCACACUAUAAACUUUUUCCUCACUCUGUGUGGUACAAACAUCACUUUCUCCAAUUGAACAACUGUUCCCUGCUAACUGAAUUGUAAGAUAAAUUUAAAGUGGGAGGAAGAACGGUUUAAAAAUAAAUAUUCGGACAUAGCUAAGGUGUGACAUUAACACAACCCGACUUCGCUUCCCUCCGAGCACAAAUGAAAGUGCCAAUGAUUCAUCAUGAAAACCACAAUAAGAAUAUAAUAAAAUAAUUUUUGUUAAUAAUUUAUACUUUUGUGUUACGACACGAAGUGAACCGCCCAACACUGUGUAAAUGUCAGUACAAUAUCUUACGCCAUCAUGGCCGCUAUUGUGUUUAUAGUUACCAUAGAAACAGAAUUUUGCAUCAUAUCAAGAUUAAUCAAUGAAAACUUCGUUUAAAGCGACAUUAGUAUUUUUGAAAUUCUGUUGUUAUGGAAAAAGUAUGAAGCGAGAAGAAGUGAAAUAUUCACUGUUGGUCGUUAUCUUCCGCUGUCUUUGUAUGUAAUAAACUUUAGUACAAUAGAGUGGAAUGAUAAACGUGCUUCACAGAUUACACUGGGUGUGACGCGACAAUUUCAUAGUCUGUGAAAUUCGUGUAAUUUUAUUUAAAUAUCCAUUUCACAUCACCGCAAAUGACAUAAUGGAGAAAAAGAGAUUAUUAACAAAUGAGUAAAAAAAGAAGAAAGAAUCAAAGCACAGAUAAAAUUUAAGUGCGUAUUCUUCUUUCUUAUUUACGGAGAUAUCUACUGAAAGUUAAUUAUGGAGAAGUUGAAAGUUAAUUAUGGGGAUGCUGGAAAUUAUAAAAGAAAGUGCUGCCUAAAUAGCACGAAAGACACGAAUGAAAGCAAGUAGCUGAAUCUCGUCAUUUAAGAAAUAAAGUUGGAGUCAAAAAGUUAUGAAUCUCUUAGACAAAAAACGGUGAGUGACUUCAAAUUUACUAUCUUUUUAUGUUAAGCUAUCAGUUUCUUUUGACCCAAAAAGGUAAAUUUGUGCGGUUGGGUCACGUCAACAUAUUUAUGUUUCCCUAAGCAGCAAGUUUAAACCUUUUGUGAGAAGUUCAAAAUUAGUUUUAAGAUUCUUGCUAUAAUUUAAUCCAAUCAUGGGGACUUCAGAAGGUAAAAAGGUAUAGUAGAUUUAUAACAUUACGGCGGUUGACUGGUCGCCAACAUCUGUAUAAUCAAGAAAAUUCAACAAAGAAAUAUUCGUAAAUUUUAUUGUCUUGCUGGUACUAAUAUGUUGCUUUUAAAAUCCCUGCCAGCUGUAAAAUUCCUGAACUUAAAACUCAUUGCGUUUUUUCAUCCAAUCAACCAAUUUAAUAUAUUUCAUCACGAAAAUCACGGGAUUAUGGGAGAUGCUUUGAAAAAAGUAAAUUUUUGUUUCACUUGCGAAAUAAUGUCAGAAGAAUAUGAAAAGAACAAACAUUUUAAAUGUGUCCUGGUAGUUGCUUCGAAUUGCAGCUAACGCACAACACUGCAGAAAAAUUGGUGCAUGACAUGUAAUUCUUAAGGAAAUCCUAAAUUUCUCAAAAUAAGCAUUCGUUUUCAAUAAAAAUUAUGAUUUUUUUACGGGCUAAACAACUAGUCUCUAUAAUAGCUAAUAGCCGUGCCUCUGCCUUCCAAAUGGUCACGCCGAGGCCCUAAUUUCUUAACCCUUGCAGAGUCAUUCGAUUUCUCCGUGCUAACAGGCGAAAAAGAAUGCACGAAAUACCGAUACGGAAAAUAUGUACAACAGGUGGUUUUAUGUGGUUUUUUCCACGGGCAAAAUGGUUCCACUUGGAAUCAGGAUGGCACGUUAGGGAGUCACGCAUUUCAUUUACCACCAAUAAUUGUAUCAUUUAUUAAUCUUUGACUUAACAUCUGAAACAUAAUUUACUUUCCGCCUCACACAGUGUUUUAACAUCACAGCUUUGUUAUUCUUGACAAAGGGCUACCGUUAAUUAACACGGUUGACUCAUAACAGUUAAAUUAACACGAUUAACUUGUAAAUAGUUCAAUGACUGGAUGACUCAUAAAAUAUAAUCUAUUAAUCUUAGGCUGAUAUUUUUUUAAUAAAACGUGUAACCCAUUACUAAGACUACUUGUUUUUAUUUUUUAUAACAUUUUAACCCCUACAUUUAUGUUCAAAUCGAGAAACUUAUUUGCGAACUUUACAAUGACAUGAACAAAUGACCAACCCCUUUUGCAAUAUAUUUUAAUGUCAGUCUUUCUCACGACGAUUUUAUACUAGGGUAGAUGGACCUAAUUAACUAGGCUUAUUCUGCUUUUUACCCUUCUAUCGAUUCUUUGCUACGACUAGGUAUGUUUUAAACAUUAUUAAAAAUUACCGCAGAGCCUAAAUGUUCUGCUCUUAUGAACUAGAUUUUUUUUUAUAGAAAAACCGUUUAUGCGUUUAUAAUAUUCUCUUGUCAUCCUCCUUGAAUGUGCUUUUCUUAAGGCGGUGAUACACGAUCCAAUUAAUCGAAUUCGAUUAAUUGGAUCGUGUAUCACCGUCUUUAGAAGUUGAUGUAUAGGUUUUGACUUUCAAAUAAGAAACAGAAGUAUUGUGAUGAGAAACAGUAGAAUUGUGUCAUAUUUGAAAGCAGGAAGUGGUCAAAUUGGGAAUUUUUCUUUCUUAAUUUAUACCAAUUAGAUUUUAAUAUCCCUACAACCUAAAUUUAAUCCUUGCAUACAAAUAAUGCUGUAAUUAAAAAUAAAAAGUUUAAGAACAAGUAGAAAUAAUAAUAGAAGAAAAAUUAUAGUUUAAUAUAAAAACAUUUAAAUUCAAUGACCUGCAAUAGAUGUCUUUUUUUUCUUUUAGCUUUUUAUAAUUGUUUGACGGAUUAGAAAGAUCUUUGUAAAGAUAAUCUUUUGAAACCGUUAGAUUUUUUUUUCUUUUACGUACCCAACCGAUUUAUUCACCACCUCGUGUAUAUGAACAAGCAAAAUGUAAACAAUAUCACGUGGUCGAGCUAGUAAACAACUUUCGCGCGAAAACUUGAAGGAGAACGCAGCUAUCUAUAGGAUGGAGAAUGUAUUUCAACUGUGGAAGAAAUCUUUAAAGCUUCAACUGACGUGUAUUAAAACAACCGGAAUGAGCAACGGAGAAGGGAGGAGAAGAGAAACCGUUCCAGUAAACACCGCCUCUAUCGACAUGCGUGAAGUCAUCAGUAACUAAGUUACAGUCGUGGCACAGAGUAAGCAGGCUUGUCAAAUAGUUUGCUUAAGAAACUCUAAGAAAGGCUAGGAUAAUUUUAAAUGUGAACUUUUAAGAAAGUGGUUUUUAAAUAGUUGUUUAAAUUCAGCAAACACUCAUUAUAUGAACACGCGUGAGAUUAACGCGCGAAAGACGCUCCAAUGUUUAACGUGACGUACGUAACACGCUCCGAUAUUCAACUUGACGUACGUAACACGCUCCGAUAUUCAACCUGACGUACGUAACACGCUCCGAUAUUCAACUUGACGUACGAAAGACGCUCCGAUGUUUAACUUGACGUACGUAACACGCUCUGAUAUUCAACAUUGUAUGGCCAUGUUAACUUUUAAGUUUUACAGUUCCAAUUGUAUUGUUCUCUUGUAUAGCAGUUUUUUUUCUUUAUGAUUCAAGAAGUUGGGUUGUUUGGAAAAUGCAUCAAUUAUGAAAUAUUAAUCAAUGUAAAUUCAUUGAACUAACAAUGUAUGUACACUGUCGAGAUACGAAUCCAGUGAAUACGUGCACGAUGAAUAGAAAAACCGCAUUAUUUAAACACACUUCAUUUUUUUUUAAAUGCUGAUUUCAUACAUCAUAGUGAGCAAGUCAUACAGUUCGCUACCAAUCCUCUGUCCUAUAUGCACGCCUUGUUUAUAAAAAGACUGUACUUGUUUUGAAGGUUGACACAAACAGCAACGUAAAAGUCAAACUUAAAGAGAUUACCUUAUAAAAAAAUGGCGUCAAAUUGCUAACUACAUGACAACGAGGCUGUGGUUUGAUAGGGGCGUCCAUAGAGCAAACAAGAGAGGUAUAUUAAUAUUUGCGUAAGUGUAUGUAUAUAUUUUAUCAAAUAUUUAUACUUAAAAUAUUAAAUAAUUUAA